GACAGAGGGUGCAAACGUUGUUCGGAAUUACUGGGCGUAAAGCGCGUGUAGGCGGCAGCGCAAGUCGGAUGUGAAAUCCCAUAGCUCAACCAUGGAAGUGCACCCGAAACUGCGUCGCUAGAGUCCUGGAGAGGAAGGUGGAAUGCUUGGUGUAGAGGUGAAAUUCGUAGAUAUCAAGCGGAACACCGGUGGCGAAGGCGGCCUUCUGGACAGUGACUGACGCUGAGACGCGAAAGCGUGGGGAGCAAACAGG
rnacentral:rRNA from 1 species